rnacentral:lncRNA from 1 species
GGAGAGGUACGUGCUCCAUUGCUGAUGUAGGUGGCAACUCAAGUCAUGAGCCUGGCGGGGGUAGAGUAGAGAAGGGGUUCCAAAACUAAGCUGUGCUGUAUUCCCAGUGUCCAGAGCUAGGAGAGAAAUCAAAGGAGAAUAUGAGCUAAAAAUUGAAGAGAGUGAGUAGAAUUUUUUUUUCAAAGUUUGAUUUUUUUGGUCUUUUCUAAAUGGAUGGGAAGUAAUGAGGACAGCUGCAGGAGGCACAUGGGUUUAAGAGGUCUUUUCUCCUCCCAAAAUGGGAGAACUAAUAGCAUUUGCAUAUGCUAAUGAAGAUGAUCCAGUAGAGAGGGAAAAACUGAUAGGAGAGAAAAGACAGUUGAGGAAGUGAGAAGUGUUUAAUUUGAGGGGUAGGAGAUGUAGGGGCAACUAGUGAGCUGAAUUUUCAGAGAGCUGUUUGGAUUCUUUUUUUAGAUCCCAGGAGCAAGGGUGGGGGACAGAUCAAAGAGGAACAGAUCUGGUUUCUAUAUCCUCAGCUAAAGAUGAAGAAAGAACAGAAGCUGAAAGGAAAAGAAGGGAGAUAAGAGAUAAGUUUCUGUCCUUCCAGAGAAGUUCGAAACAGAUGGAUCCUGGAGGUGUUUUAGAAAGAGACCGCAUUCUUCCCAGGUGAACAAGCUACAUUUGAGGAGGCUCCAAUACACAUUUAUGCUUAAGAUUUAAAUAUACUUCGCAUAUUACUAACUUUCAAAGACAAAUAAGAAACAUGUACUAAAGUAUAAUUUCAGGAUGAGGAAAGUGUUCCUAUUUUUUAUAGAUGAGUUUAGGUCAUGGUAUGACUUUGGUUUUAAUUUUAGGUCUUUGAAACUUGAAUAGCUUACAUACAAGUGUCUUCAUAUAAAUGGAAAAAAUACUGGGAAUAUUCACGGAGAGCAUGCUUGGAUAAAUACCAAUGAGUGCAAAUUUUUGCCAGAAAGCUUUGGAAAUACAGAAGUUGUUUCUUUUUAUAAGUGCUUUUAACCUUUCAAGACCUAUUAAACCAAUUUGAGCAGUUGUUUCUGUCAGAAAUAUUUUCUGCACGAAUAGAAAGAUACCCCCCCCCACCACCACUUGUACCUGAAACCGCAACUUGAUACCAUG